AGAGAGGCACUGCACUAAUAAAUGUGGAAGAAUGCCAGCUCUGUGGAAAUAUUGACAGGUCUGGUGUAAAAUUCAGUUUUUCCAAUACCACUCCAACUAAACAGAAUGAAUGGAACAUUAGACUCUCAGGGCCUGUGGCUGCAGGUACAUCACUCACUGAACACCUUCCCAGCUAUGCAGCUAAGGGGCGAAGGCCGAUGUUCUGCUUAAAAUCACAAGCCUACCAGCACUUCUUCUGCAGCAGAUACUUCUAUUCUCGAAGAGCUCGUGAAAAUAUGAAGAUGACUAGGGGAAGAGAUCCCAUACAUUUUGGAUGAAGAACACACUGAAGAGUUAAUACAAGAGUCGUGUGGCGUAAGAGACGCCACACUGGACACAGCAAGAUCUUUCAUACAUGAUACUUCUAUUCCUGAAGAGCUCGUGAAAACAUGAAGAUGACUAGGGGAAGAGAUCCCAUACAUUUUGGAUGAAGAACACACUGAAGAGUUAAUGCAAGAGUUGUAUGGCGUAAGAGACUCCACACUGGACACAGCAAGAUCUUUCAUACAUGGUCAGGGCUCAUAGCCAACCAGAAGAUAAGAAUCUGCCAUCUACUAAAGCUUUUACUUUGUCAAUGUCAAGAAAUAAAAAAAGUAUACACAUAGAGGAGACAGAUACUGAUAGAAAAAGGGAAAUAUUCUGGGUGAUACAACCUUAGAACUGCAGGAGGCCAUAACAUAGGAGACUAAAAGUUUUGCCACAGACUUCCUGAGGUGAUAUAGUCCGAAUCUUCUUCAAUGCUGAUUCCAUCACCCGCUGGUAUUUGUAUAAUAUGGAACUUUUCAAACGAAACAUUAGCAAUGUUUUAAAGGACUAUGUGUGAAUGUAGUCUCCUCUCUUGUUAUUGCUGUCCAGUUGAGCUGCUUCUGUUGAAGAAGCUCAAGAAGGACCUGUCCAUACAGGUUUUCACCUGAAGGUGUAGGCUGUUGAGCAGGACUGUGCUGUGAAAUACUAAUAAACUGUAUAUAUUUAAAAUUGUGGUACUAUUCUAGUUCUGAAGUAUCUUUGACCCUCAAUCUGUUCACACCACUUUUGGAUGCAUCACUUGUGGUUUCUCUGUGAAACAAUAUACUUGUCUGUGAAUUGGUAUUAUUAAUAUGUAACUCACACUGGUAUGUUAGUUCAAUUAUAUUAUUGUUGGUGAGCAAAGAUUUAUUGGGCAAUUUGAGAAAGCAUCCUUUUUAACCACAUAGCACUCAUAUAAGCCAGUUUUUAUAUUCAGAGCCAUGUCCCAUCAGGACAAGAAUGUGAAAAUGAAUUCACAUGUCAUGCUGUUGGUAUGGUUCAAAUGAGGAGUGUUCUGACAUCUCACAUAGCCAGCUGGAUAACUGCAAGGUGCAGGUGUUUCCAAGAAUACCUGGCAUGGCUUAUGAACACUGGACUAUUUAGCCUCAGGCUUCCUGACCAAAAUACUCUCCUAACACUGUGUCAAGAUGAGAAGCACAUCAACUCAUAGAAUAAUUCUUAAAUGUUACUAUGUCAGACAGCGGCAACUUCUUGAAGAACCUACUGAUAACUAUAGGGGAGAAAGAAAAAUCCCAAGAGAAGGUGACUGUAUAUAAGCAUGUCAAGUGUCAAUCUUAUAUACAUAAGACAUUCCUUUGGAUCGUUUCUCUACAGUAAGUUGGCAGUGCUUCUGGACUGAGAACUGUGUUUUCCUGUUGCUAGCAGUUGCCAUGAAUUUACUGGAAGCACUGACUCAUGCUUAAUUAGUGGUGCCUUGGCUUAUUUUUAUACUGUUUUUAUGUAUUUGGAGUAUAUGCUAUUUUUAAGGCACAUAUUGUUCUUCUAAAUAUGUCAUUGUAAUACGGCAUAAUGAUUUUUACGAUAUUGAAAUUCAAAGAAAAUAUCUUUUCAAUAUCUUGUUUUGACUUAAUUCCAAGCAGACAAAUCUAUGGAUGAUAAGCUUUCUUCAUAUAAGUCAGUUAAUCAAGUAAUGGAUUGCCUGUUAUCUAAUACAUGGAUUUGGCUCCUAAAUUUCUCAGAGAUAAUGAAAUGAUACCGACUAAUAUGAUUGCACAGCUCUUUGCAUUGAAAAAAGUCAACAUUUAUUUUCCAUCUGAAGGGAGAGCAGGAAAGUGUUAAUGUCUUAAAACCAUGACAAAUCUCAGUGGAAAACACCUUUGCUUGUAGUGUUUGUUCACCACAUGGUGCAUGCCUCAGAGGGUGUUAAAUCAGCAAAACUGCUGAAUUUGAAAUAUAGGGAACAUUUAUCUGCCUCUGAAUUCAGUUAUGCUAUGUGCAAAGAUCCUGAAUAGAAUCUGAUAGUAUAACAGCAAUGUAGAAUUGCAUAUUAAACAUACCUAACCUGUCAUUAAAAACCUCUAAUUACAGCCAUCAGAUGAGUCCUUGUGCUGCUACUUGUCAUGUUAGAUGUAUACAUCAUUUUAAUGGAAGAAGAUAGUAUUUCUGAUUAUGUCGCUUAAUGUACAAUAUAUGAAAGUUAUGGGCCUGAACCUGUUCCCAUGGAGGUCAAUGACAGUUUUGCCAUUGUCUUCAAUUAGAGCAGGAUGUGGCUUUAUGACACUAGAUAUUCAUUUGCAUUAAUUAAUUUACUUAGUAGGUAAUGAAAAACUCGAAAAAACAGCCCUCUGGCUCAUGAGUCUGGCAUUGUGCUUAAUACUCUCAUUAGGAAUAAUUGCACUGAUAAACUUUUAAGCAGAAACAGUUAAGAUGGAUCAGUGUAAAAUCAAGCUUAUCAGCAGUUGACUGAGCCUACCUUCUAUGUUACAACCUCGUCUGCUUUUAUUCUUCUCUGACUGGGAUGUAGAAUCUUUAAUGCUUAGUAGUGUAGAUGAAAGUGUGAUCUUUUCAAACUUUAUGGAUUUAUAUAUUUUAUAUAUCAUGAAGGUACUGGCUCAGCAAAUGCCAUAGAACUGGCAGCUGAGUUUUUGGGUCUGCAAUCUCACUGAGGAAGGCAAGGAUAGAUAGGUAAUGAGAUACAGUGGGCAGAUAGGUAAUGAGAUACAGUGGUUCUUUCAUAUCAUGGUUGGAGCUGGAGCAACAUAUGUGGGAAUAUCCAUAUAGAAAUUGCUAAAUGUAAACACAACUCUUUCGAAAUAAGCUCCUAUAGUGUGCUUUGAUUUCUAAAAUCAAAAAUAAUACAUCAGUCUCCCAAGUUUUUUCAUUUUUAAGCUGAUAGCAGUACCUAUUAUGCUAGCAGCAGUCUUAUGUCUGAGAAAAAUAAGAGGCUGUGAAAAUGGUGACGGAGCCAAACUAGCAGGAAUGCACUAUGACAACCAGUAAGCCAUAGGGGAUGUAUGUGAGUUCUAAAAUAUGCAGCCUGGGACUGAAGAAUUAGAAGGAAUUGAUACAUACCACCCUGCACAGAAAGGUUAGGAAUCAAAUGAUCUUCCAGUGAGCUAACAGUGGCCGGAGGACUUCAUUCUCACUUGCUGAAGGGGUGGAAUGUGGGUUUCUAUGAGCUGGUUGAGUUUAGCAUUCUGUGUCAUCUUGGCAAAAUGACUUCUACUUCUGGAUGCUAUUUCUACAGCCUGGGGACAAUGACUUCUCUUUACCUUGUAAGGUUUUUGGUUGUGUUGGCUUUGUAAGGUAUUUGGCUAUCUGUGUGUUGAGAACCAUAAAGUACCCACAUCAAUUGAAAACCCGUCAGUCAGAGCUUGAAAACUCAUCAGUCUCUGUAUUUGGAGCUUUUUAUUAGAUUAAGAAAAAAAAAAAAGUGAGACAAUAUUAGCUUGGGGUCUGCUUGCCUCCUUUAGCAUAUUGCUGUGACUGCCUUGGAAUAUUUUUAGCCAGGCAUGCUGUAGUUUAUGGACAUUAUUGUAGAAAUACUUGCUGAGAAAAGCUGUUUCAUUAAUUGGGUAGUCUCACUGUAAACCAUGUGAUAUCCCAGAAGACACUUUAUAAAUAAAGU
ensembl:lncRNA